rfam:Myotis lucifugus cont2.4025, whole genome shotgun sequence.
AAAAUCCCCUAGCUGUGGAGUUUUGUUGACUGAAAUUGGAGUAAUACAGAGAUUAGCAAGGCCCCUGUGUAAGGAUGACAUUCAAACUGGUGAAAUGUUCCUUGUGUUU